rnacentral:rRNA from 1 species
GGAAUAUUGGACAAUGGGGGAAACCCUGAUCCAGCGACGCCGCGUGAGUGAAGAAGUAUGUCGGUAUGUAAAGCUCUAUCAGCAGGGAAGAAAAUGACGGUACCUGACUAAGAAGCCCCGGCUAACUACGUGCCAGCAGCCGCGGUAAUACGUAGGGGGCAAGCGUUAUCCGGAUUUACUGGGUGUAAAGGGAGCGUAGACGGCGAUGCAAGUCUGGAGUGAAAGCCCGGGGCUCAACCCCGGGACUGCUUUGGAAACUGUGUUGCUAGAGUGCAGGAGAGGUAAGUGGAAUUCCUAGUGUAGCGGUGAAAUGCGUAGAUAUUAGGAGGAACACCAGUGGCGAAGGCGGCUUACUGGACUGUAACUGACGUUGAGGCUCGAAAGCGUGGGGAGCAAACA